rnacentral:tRNA from 1 species
GGUGGCUCAGUAGUAGAGCGCUUACCUUGUAUGCAUGAGGCCCUGGGUUCAAUUCCUCAGCACCA